rnacentral:rRNA from 1 species
UACAGAGGGUGCAAGCGUUGUUCGGAAUUAUUGGGCGUAAAGCGCGUGUAGGCGGCUUAGCAAGUCGGGCGUGAAAGCCCUCGGCUCAACCGAGGAAGUGCACCCGAAACUGCUGAGCUUGAGUGCCGGAGAGGAUGGCGGAAUUCCCCAAGUAGAGGUGAAAUUCGUAGAUAUCGGGGAGGAACACCGGUGGCGAAGGCGGCGACCUGGGUAAAUACUGCGCUGAGGUGCGAAAGCGUGGGGAGCAAACAGG